GGGUUGUGAGGUUAAGCGACUAAGCGUACACGGUGGAUGCCCUGGCAGUCAGAGGCGAUGAAGGACGUGCUAAUCUGCGAAAAGCGUCGGUAAGGUGAUAUGAACCGUUACAGCCGGCGAUGUCCGAAUGGGGAAACCCAGUGCAAUUCGUUGCACUAUCGUUAACUGAAUACAUAGGUUAACGAGGCGAACCGGGGGAACUGAAACAUCUAAGUACCCCGAGGAAAAGAAAUCAACCGAGAUUCCCCCAGUAGCGGCGAGCGAACGGGGAGCAGCCCAGAGUCUGAAUCAGCUUGUGUGUUAGUGGAACGGUCUGGAAAGUCCGACGGUACAGGGUGAUAGUCCCGUACACCAAAAUGCACAGGCUGUGAACUCGAAGAGUAGGGCGGGACACGUGGUAUCCUGUCUGAAUAUGGGGGACCAUCCUCCAAGGCUAAAUACUCCUGACUGACCGAUAGUGAACCAGUACCGUGAGGGAAAGGCGAAAAGAACCCCGGCGAGGGGAGUGAAAAAGAACCUGAAACCGUGUACGUACAAGCAGUGGGAGCACCUUCGGGUGUGACUGCGUACCUUUUGUAUAAUGGGUCAGCGACUUAUAUUCUGUAGCAAGGUUAACCGUAUAGGGGAGCCGCAGGGAAACCGAGUCUUAACUGGGCGUUAAGUUGCAGGGUAUAGACCCGAAACCCGGUGAUCUAGCCAUGGGCAGGUUGAAGGUUGGGUAACACUAACUGGAGGACCGAACCGACUAAUGUUGAAAAAUUAGCGGAUGACUUGUGGCUGGGGUGAAAGGCCAAUCAAACCGGGAGAUAGCUGGUUCUCCCGAAAGCUAUUUAGGUAGCGCCUCGUGAACUCAUCUUCGGGGUAGAGCACUGUUUCGGCUAGGGGGUCAUCCCGACUUACCAACCCGAUGCAAACUACGAAUACCGAAGAAUGUUAUCACGGGAGACACACGGCGGGUGCUAACGUCCGUCGUGAAGAGGAAACAACCCAGACCGCCAGCUAAGGUCCCAAAGUCAUGGUUAAGUGGGAAACGAUGUGGGAAGGCACAGACAGCCAGGAUGUUGGCUUAGAAGCAGCCAUCAUUUAAAGAAAGCGUAAUAGCUCACUGGUCGAGUCGGCCUGCGCGGAAGAUGUAACGGGGCUAAACCAUGCACCGAAGCUGCGGCAGCGACACUAUGUGUUGUUGGGUAGGGGAGCGUUCUGUAAGCCUGCGAAGGUGACCUGUGAGGGUUGCUGGAGGUAUCAGAAGUGCGAAUGCUGACAUAAGUAACGAUAAAGCGGGUGAAAAGCCCGCUCGCCGGAAGACCAAGGGUUCCUGUCCAACGUUAAUCGGGGCAGGGUGAGUCGACCCCUAAGGCGAGGCCGAAAGGCGUAGUCGAUGGGAAACAGGUUAAUAUUCCUGUACUUGGUGUUACUGCGAAGGGGGGGGACGGAGAAGGCUAUGUUAGCCGGGCGACGGUUGUCCCGGUUUAAGCAUGUAGGCUGGUUGUCCAGGCAAAUCCGGAUAAUCAAGGCUGAGGUGUGAUGACGAGGCACUACGGUGCUGAAGUAACAAAUGCCCUGCUUCCAGGAAAAGCCUCUAAGCAUCAGGUAACAUUAAAUCGUACCCCAAACCGACACAGGUGGUCAGGUAGAGAAUACCAAGGCGCUUGAGAGAACUCGGGUGAAGGAACUAGGCAAAAUGGUGCCGUAACUUCGGGAGAAGGCACGCUGGUGUGUAGGUGAAGUCCCUGCGGAUGGAGCUGAGACCAGUCGAAGAUACCAGCUGGCUGCAACUGUUUAUUAAAAACACAGCACUGUGCAAACACGAAAGUGGACGUAUACGGUGUGACGCCUGCCCGGUGCCGGAAGGUUAAUUGAUGGGGUUAUCCGUAAGGAGAAGCUCUUGAUCGAAGCCCCGGUAAACGGCGGCCGUAACUAUAACGGUCCUAAGGUAGCGAAAUUCCUUGUCGGGUAAGUUCCGACCUGCACGAAUGGCGUAAUGAUGGCCAGGCUGUCUCCACCCGAGACUCAGUGAAAUUGAACUCGCUGUGAAGAUGCAGUGUACCCGCGGCAAGACGGAAAGACCCCGUGAACCUUUACUAUAGCUUGACACUGAACAUUGAGCCUUGAUGUGUAGGAUAGGUGGGAGGCUUUGAAGCGUGGACGCCAGUCUGCGUGGAGCCAACCUUGAAAUACCACCCUUUAAUGUUUGAUGUUCUAACGUUGGCCCCUUACCGGGGUUGCGGACAGUGUCUGGUGGGUAGUUUGACUGGGGCGGUCUCCUCCCAAAGCGUAACGGAGGAGCACGAAGGUUAGCUAAUCCUGGUCGGACAUCAGGAGGUUAGUGCAAUGGCAUAAGCUAGCUUGACUGCGAGCGUGACGGCGCGAGCAGGUGCGAAAGCAGGUCAUAGUGAUCCGGUGGUUCUGAAUGGAAGGGCCAUCGCUCAACGGAUAAAAGGUACUCGGGGAUAACAGGCUGAUACCGCCCAAGAGUUCAUAUCGACGGCGGUGUUUGGCACCUCGAUGUCGGCUCAUCACAUCCUGGGGCUGAAGUAGGUCCCAAGGGUAUGGCUGUUCGCCAUUUAAAGUGGUACGCGAGCUGGGUUUAGAACGUCGUGAGACAGUUCGGUCCCUAUCUGCCGUGGGCGCUGGAGAAUUGAGGGGGGCUGCUCCUAGUACGAGAGGACCGGAGUGGACGCAUCACUGGUGUUCGGGUUGUCAUGCCAAUGGCACUGCCCGGUAGCUAAAUGCGGAAGAGAUAAGUGCUGAAAGCAUCUAAGCACGAAACUUGCCCCGAGAUGAGUUCUCCCUGAGACUUUAAGUCUCCUGAAGGAACGUUAAAGACGAUGACGUUGAUAGGCCGGGUGUGUAAGCGCAGCGAUGCGUUGAGCUAACCGGUACUAAUGAACCGUGAGGCUUAACCUUACAACGCCGAAG
rnacentral:rRNA from 1 species